rnacentral:lncRNA from 1 species
AAUACUCUGUCGGCCAGACUGUUUUCUCCACUAAAGAGUCACCACCUCCUCCUCCUCCCUCUCCUCUGGCGAAAUGGAGGAGAGGUUUGUUAGCAGAGGAGUGCAACACUUCCAGUUUGCCAAAUAAGAUUCCAGGUUUACUUUAUAUUUUGAAACAAAAUGGAAGACAUUGUUCCAGCCCUGGGAAAUCAACGGUCUGUAGAAAUGACUUUAGAAGCCCUUAAAGAGGCCAGCUUUAAAGGAUUUCAUCUACAAGCUCGAGAAGUGGAAGGAGAUGUUCCUGUUGGUACUUUUAAAAUUACAGAUCAAAACACAAAAGGCUUGGAUUGUCAUAACGUGACGAAUUCAGCUGUAAGUCAUGCAAAUUCAGAUGCGAAACAGAAAGUUACAACAACGUGGAUUGCACCACAUGAUAUUAGAGAUCUUCAGUUUAUCGCAACUGUUGUUCAAGAUCUAGAGAAAUUUUGGGUCGGAGUUCAAAGCAAAACCCUCACACCUACACAUUCUGAGUCAGUUAAUGGGACAGGAAGAAGUAAGAGGAAGAUUAUGAUAGAAAUAGAAUGUGCCAAGCGUGGAGGGACUUACACACCACAAAGUGGAUGCGUCCUAGUUGGACCCUCCGGUUCCUCUCGGAACAGCUAUACAAGUGGUCAGAGUGGAGUAGUCUACUCAAUAAGCAAGAGCGGAUGUGUCCCAGGAGGGACUGCUGAUGCAUACAGCAGACAUGCCUGCAAAGAUAGUGCAUCCUCAUAUAGACCUGGUCUUACCUAUGGCCAGUCUGUCCCUGCAAGCAGUUCAGAUUCCAGUAAGAAGGUAAGCACUCCUUUUCUUUUUAAUUCAAAGGGAAAAAAAAUCUUACAGAUGUAACUUGGC